UACGUAGGGUGCAAGCGUUAAUCGGAAUUACUGGGCGUAAAGCGUGCGUAGGCGGCUUUGUAAGACAGAGGUGAAAUCCCCGGGCUCAACCUGGGAACUGCCUUUGUGACUGCAAGGCUUGAGUGCGGCAGAGGGGGAUGGAAUUCCGCGUGUAGCAGUGAAAUGCGUAGAUAUGCGGAGGAACACCGAUGGCGAAGGCAAUCCCCUGGGCCUGCACUGACGCUCAUGCACGAAAGCGUGGGGAGCAAACAGG
rnacentral:rRNA from 1 species